rnacentral:tRNA from 1 species
AGGGGCGUAGCUCAACUGGUAGAGCACCGGUUUCCAAAACCGACGGUUGCGGGUUCGAGUCCUGCCGCCCCUG